UUAUGCUAAUAAGAGCGUAUGGUGGAUGCCUUGGCACUAAGAGCCGAUGAAAGACGUGAUAAGCUGCGAAAAGCUUCGGGGAGGAGCAAAUAUCCAUUGAUCCGGAGAUUUCUGAAUGGGGAAACCUACUUGAGAAAACCUCAAGUAUCCACAGCCCAAUCCAUAAGCUGUGGAAGGGAACCCGGUGAACUGAAACAUCUAAGUAGCCGGAGGAAGAGAAAACAACAUGUGAUUCCGUAAGUAGCGGCGAGCGAACGCGGAAGAGCCCAAACCGGAGUGCGUGCACUCCGGGGUUCGGACUGCAGAAUUGACGAGUGAGCCUAGUAGAAUGGUUUUGGGAAAGCCAGCCAGAGAGGGUGAAAGCCCCGUACACGAAAGGCAAGCAAGCAUGGCAGGAUCCAGAGUACCACGAGACACGUGAAACCUUGUGGGAAUGAGCGGGGACCACCCCGUAAGGCUAAAUACUCCUUAGUGACCGAUAGCGCAUAGUACUGUGAAGGAAAGGUGAAAAGGACCCCGGGAGGGGAGUGAAAGAGAACCUGAAACCAUAUGUUUACAAGCUGUGGAACAUCUUUAUAUGAUGAACCGCGUACUUUUUGUAGAACGGUCCGGCGAGUUACGCUGGCUGGCGAGGUUAAGGGCUGAAGGCCUGGAGCCGAAGGGAAACCAAGUCUGAACAGGGCGAAAUAGUCAGUCGGAGUAGACCCGAAACCGGGUGAUCUAUCCAUGUCCAGGUUGAAGUUGCCGUAAAAGGCAAUGGAGGACCGAACCCACAUCCGUUGAAAAGGGUGGGGAUGAGGUGUGGAUAGGGGAGAAAUUCCAAUCGAACCCGGAGAUAGCUGGUUCUCCUCGAAAUAGCUUUAGGGCUAGCCUCAAUUUAGUCUUGCGGAGGUAGAGCACUGAAUAUCCUAGGGGGCGUCAAAGCUUACCGAAGAUUAUCAAACUCCGAAUGCCGUUAAGAUGAUGAUUGGGAGUCAGACUGCACGAGAUAAGUUGGGUAGUCAAAAGGGAAAGAGCCCAGACCUACAGCUAAGGUCCCAAAAUGUGUGUUAAGUGGAAAAGGAUGUGGGAUUUCGAAGACAACUAGGAUGUUGGCUUAGAAGCAGCCAUCCAUUAAAAGAGUGCGUAAUAGCUCACUAGUCGAGAGGUCCUGCGCCGAAAAUGUCCGGGGCUGAAACACACUACCGAAGCUUAGGAAUUGAUGAAUGUCAAUUGGUAGAGGAGCAUUCUUACCGAGACGAAGCUGUACCGGAAGGAGCAGUGGAUUGGUAAGAAGAGAGAAUGCCGGAAUGAGUAGCGAGAGGAAGGUGAGAAUCCUUCCGGCCGAAUAUCUAAGGUUUCCAGAGUAAAGCUGAUCUGCUCUGGGUAAGUCGGGGCCUAAGGCGAGGUCGAAAGACGUAGUCGAUGGAUAACAGGUAAAGAUUCCUGUACUAUAUCAUAACAGAACUGUGGGGACGCAGACAGAGAGCAUAAGCCGGGAAUGGAAAAACCGGUACAAGCGAGGUAGGAGUACAUCAGGCAAAUCCGGUGUACAAUCUGAAGACGUGAUGUGGGGCGUAAAGCCGGAAGUAUGUGAGCUGGCUGCCAAGAAAAGCCGCUAUUGUUUAUGAUAUACCCGUACCGUAAACCGACACAGGUGGAUGAGGAGAGAAUCCUAAGGCCGACGGGAGAAGCAUUGUUAAGGAACUCGGCAAAAUGACUCCGUAACUUCGGGAGAAGGAGUGCCAUGUAAAAGUGGCCGCAGAGAAUUGGCCCAAGCAACUGUUUAGCAAAAACACAGGUCUAUGCAAAACCGAAAGGUGAGGUAUAUGGGCUGACGCCUGCCCGGUGCUGGAAGGUUAAGGGGAGAGGUUAGCCGUAAGGCGAAGCUUUGAACUUAAGCCCCAGUAAACGGCGGCCGUAACUAUAACGGUCCUAAGGUAGCGAAAUUCCUUGUCGGGUAAGUUCCGACCCGCACGAAAGGCGUAAUGAUUUGGGCACUGUCUCAACAAUGCACCCGGUGAAAUUGACAACA
rnacentral:rRNA from 1 species